AUUGAACGCUGGCGGCAUGCCUUACACAUGCAAGUCGAACGGUAACAGGUCUUCGGAUGCUGACGAGUGGCGAACGGGUGAGUAAUGCAUCGGAACGUGCCCAGUAGUGGGGGAUAGCCCGGCGAAAGCCGGAUUAAUACCGCAUACGACCUGAGGGUGAAAGGGGGGGAUCGCAAGACCUCUAGCUAUGGGAGCGGCCGAUGUCAGAUUAGCUAGUUGGUGGGGUAAAGGCCUACCAAGGCAACGAUCUGUAGUUGGUCUGAGAGGACGACCAGCCACACUGGGACUGAGACACGGCCCAGACUCCUACGGGAGGCAGCAGUGGGGAAUUUUGGACAAUGGGCGCAAGCCUGAUCCAGCAAUGCCGCGUGCAGGAAGAAGGCCUUCGGGUUGUAAACUGCUUUUGUCAGGGAAGAAAUCUUCUGGGUUAAUACCUCGGGAGGAUGACGGUACCUGAAGAAUAAGCACCGGCUAACUACGUGCCAGCCGCCGCGGUAAUAC
rnacentral:rRNA from 1 species